rnacentral:rRNA from 1 species
CCUACGGGGGGCAGCAGUAAGGAAUCUUCCACAAUGGACGAAAGUCUGAUGGAGCAACGCCGCGUGCAGGAUGACGGUCUUCGGAUUGUAAACUGCUUUUAUAUGGGAAGAUUAUGACGGUACCAUAUGAAUAAGCACCGGCUAACUACGUGCCAGCAGCCGCGGUAAUACGUAGGGUGCAAGCGUUAUCCGGAAUCACUGGGCGUAAAGCGUGCGUAGGUGGCGCGUUAAGUGAGAUGUUAAAUCGUGUGGCUCAACCAUAUCGAUGCAUCUCAUACUGGCGUGCUAGAGGACAGCAGAGGCAAGUGGAAUUGGUAGUGUAGCAGUGAAAUGCGUAGAUAUUACCAGGAACACCAAUGGCGAAGGCAGCUUGCUGGGCUACUCCUGACACUGAGGUACGAAAGCGUGGGGAGCGAACAGGAUUAGAUACCCUAGUAGUC